AACCUAGCACACCUGCGGUGUGUACCUGCGGAGGGAUCAUUACCAAUUAUAUAUAUGUUAGUUUGUAUACCGCUGUCAAAGGGGGUUAUACACAACUACUAUGUAAACGUUGAACUAGAUCAAUUGGUGUGGAUUGCUUGGGAAUGGACGAAGCGACAAGCCUCUUCCGGACAGGCAAGCCCCACACUGAUAACCUUUUUCAUAUCAUUUACUCGUAUAUACUACCACAACAAAAAAAAA
rnacentral:misc_RNA from 1 species